GUGCUCACUUCAGCAAUACAUACACUAAAAUUGGAAUGAUACAGAGAAGAUCAGCGUGGCCCCUGCGCAAGGUUGACAUGCAAAUUUGUGAAGAUUUCCAUUAUAAA
ensembl:snRNA U6 U6 spliceosomal RNA